rnacentral:rRNA from 1 species
UACGGAGGGAGCUAGCGUUGUUCGGAAUUACUGGGCGUAAAGCGCGCGUAGGCGGCUUUGUAAGUUAGAGGUGAAAGCCCGGGGCUCAACCCCGGAACUGCCUUUAAAACUGCAUCGCUUGAAUCCAGGAGAGGUGAGUGGAAUUCCGAGUGUAGAGGUGAAAUUCGUAGAUAUUCGGAAGAACACCAGUGGCGAAGGCGGCUCACUGGACUGGUAUUGACGCUGAGGUGCGAAAGCG